rnacentral:rRNA from 1 species
UACGUAGGGGGCAAGCGUUGUCCGGAAUCAUUGGGCGUAAAGAGCGUGUAGGCGGCCAGAUAAGUCCGCUGUGAAAUCUCGAGGCUCAACUUCGAGCUGUCGGUGGAAACUGUCUGGCUAGAGUCCGGAAGAGGAGAAUGGAAUUCCUGGUGUAGCGGUGAAAUGCGCAGAUAGUCAGGAGGACACCGGUGGCGAAGGCGGGUCUCUGGGCCGACUACUGACGCUGAGGAGCGAAAGCGUGGGAGCAACAGG